rnacentral:rRNA from 1 species
AACGAACGCUGGCGGCAUGCCUAACACAUGCAAGUCGAACGAGACCUUCGGGUCUAGUGGCGCACGGGUGCGUAACGCGUGGGAACCUGCCCUUAGGUUCGGAAUAGCUCCCCGAAAGGGGUGCUAAUACCGGAUAAUGUCUUCGGACCAAAGAUUUAUCGCCUUUGGAUGGGCCCGCGUUGGAUUAGCUAGUGGGUAGGGUAAAAGCCUACCAAGGCGACGAUCCAUAGCUGGUCUGAGAGGAUGAUCAGCCACACUGGGACUGAGACACGGCCCAGACUCCUACGGGAGGCAGCAGUGGGGAAUAUUGGACAAUGGGCGAAAGCCUGAUCCAGCAAUGCCGCGUGAGUGAUGAAGGCCUUAGGGUUGUAAAGCUCUUUUACCCGGGAUGAUAAUGACAGUACCGGGAGAAUAAGCUCCGGCUAACUCCGUG